GUAGCAAAGCAGAAGAAUCGCUGCCUUGUAGAGCAGCACUGAGGAGUAAAUUCGAUGGCGAGGGCUUGCCAUGCAGAGUUGAAUCAUCACGACAGAGCCGACUAUAUUCAGUAUCUGGCCCUUGAUAAGAAUGCUUUGCUGACCCUUGCAAUAGAGAAACAAUAACCAAGAUGAUGAUUCAUCACAGUUGAUGACCCAGAAUGCUGAUUUUCCCAGAAAAUGAAAGAGAGAAUACACCUGAAUAAUUGAAACGUCUAACUUCACAAGAAAGCAGACUGAGGCCAAAGGAGGUGUUGGACUGGCUCAGGUCAUAAGGCCGCUUAGGAGCCAGGGCAGAAAUGUAAUCCAGAUUUUCUGUCUUCCAUUCAGUGCUGCUCGCAAACCACUGCAAUUCAACUUAAAUAAAGCAGCUAUUCAAGGGAGAGGUUUGAAUGGGAGAUGGGGAGAAGAAAAACAGAAGAACACAACAUAAUAGAAAAGCAAAUACACCGAAACACACUUCUAUACCAAGCCAGCCAAUCUGCUGACCAGGAACUAGCAGCGGCAAGGUGUACUUCUAUGUUACAACUAGAAAUAUCCAUUCCCCAGCUGACAGAUCUAAAAUGCAGUAUCUAAAAAGGCACUUUAGGAGUACCAAUGUAUCAUUUGCAAAAGUAUAUGAUGUUUAGAAUUAUCAAACAUAUGAAAGUUGAGGACCACUUAUGUCAUAUGACAAUUACAACAUCCCUUGGUGUCAACAGGACAGGCAUUAGUUUUCUAAUGCUAUAAGGAAGAAAACAAUGUAGAGGAAAGAAAACCAAGAUUUAGACCUGUGAAUGGAGAAGGCAUCCCCUGGAAGCGUUCGACAAGCGAGCCAAUUUGUAUAAGGAUGUUCUAUACCCAGUCCACAAGCAAGUGUUCUGAAAGUUCUGGUUCUUUAAUGACUGAAGUACUGAGCUUGGGUCCGUAAAAAGGAAGAGGAAAUGAAAAGCAACUCCCUGCAGAAGUGCACUCAUCAGUUUUCCUCAUCUACAAAUGAAUAGUUGCACAUCGGUAUCAGAAAGUAUGAAAAGGGGUAUAUUAAAAUUUCACACACACAACAAGGCAAACUUCUCUGAUAGAGCACCAUGCCAGCCCAGACCAACACCAGGUAUGACUACAGAUCUGUCCCCAAUGGGAAAGGGCACAGACAAGCUGACUUGGCUUCCAGAAUUUUCCAUAUCCAUGAGCAAGUCAGAGGAAGGGAC
rnacentral:lncRNA from 1 species